GACACAGGGGCUCAGCCUUGCAGGGAGAGCAAUGGAGAAGCUGAGAUAGCACAGGCAGGGAGCCAGAGAGCGAUGUGAAAGGGAGAACUUGUUAGUGCCUUUAAUGAGCCUUCUCCGGUUUCAUUUGCGGCUGAAUCAGAAACUUUCUGAGUCAUUUACUCUGUCAUAGACCAGUUUGCAGAGUGGUUCACCACCCUCAGAGAGGCGAGGGCUCUGGCAUCCCAGAGAGGCUGGGAUGAACACAUACUACCACCCAGCGUGAGGUCACCAUGCUGGCCUGGGUAUGCCAGGCACCAGCCUUCGGCUCUGUGGGCUCCACCAGCAGCCUCUCAGAGCUCACCUGAACAGGAGGCUAUGGGUGCAAGCUGAGCUUGCUGGCCUCUAACUUGCACAUCCCAUAAUCCUACCAGACUCUACUAACAGGCUUGGAACACGGUCUUGUGUCCUCAGGGAACCCCUGAGGAGCAAGCUAGAGUCAAUGUCUCAGAAGACCUCAAGACUUUUCUGGGAUCACACUUUGCCACUUGGUUCUCCUCCUGUGGGCAUCCAACCAGAAACAUCGCCCUGGGAGAUUCUAGACCAGGGUAAGACUGAUCCUGCUGAAAUAGCAGGAGAGGUUCACUCCAUUCCAGGGACAGUCAUGAGAUUGUGGUCACCUUCUUUUAAAGGGCAAGCACACAUCCUAACUAUAGUUCUACCAGCCUGAGCCUGUAGGUAGCAGAAAAGCUCCCCUAGGUAACCUGUCAGGUUACUGAGAUUCUUCUCUCACCUUUUAGUUUAAUUUAGUUUGACUUUGUUUUUCUUUUUUUUUUAUUGAAGUAUAGUUGGUUUACAAUGUUCUGUUAGUUUCAGGUGUUCAGCUGAUUCCAUUGGCACUUUGCACUGAGUUUAAUUGGACUCUUUUGACACAUGGUCCUUGGACACUGGAAUGUCCAAGGUUCUUUCUUCAUCCACCUUGUAGGUUCUUUGGAAUUCUCCCACCCUACUUUCUCACGUUGUUGUCAGUGGCACUGGCACUGUAGAGACCUGGUCCCAUCUUGGCCACUGACCAGCCGUGUCAUGAUUGACAGGCUAACCACUCUGACAACUUACUGGAGGGCAGGACUGAGGAUAUGCUGGGCUGCAGCCUUGCAUGAGUCUGUGGAUAACGCAACAGGGUCAGGUUGCCUGGAGAGGCCAAACAGAUCGUCCUUCUCUUGCAGCUGUUUCCCAGGGCAUCAGCCAGACCCUUCCGCGGCAGGCUUUGCUUCUCAUCAAUACCCACAUCACCCUCUGUUCCUCAGCCCCUGCAGAGUCCACCAGGUCAGAACAGUAACAGGGUUGUGA
rnacentral:lncRNA from 1 species